GACGAACGCUGGCGGUGUGCUUAACAUAUGCAAGUCGAACGGAAAGGCCCUGCUUUUGUGGGGUGCUCGAGUGGCGAACGGGUGAGUAACGCGUGAGUAACCUGCCCUUGAUUUUGGGAUAACUUCAGGAAACUGGGGCUAAUACCGGAUAGGAGCUCCUGCUGCAUGGUGGGGGUUGGAAAGUUUCGGCGGUUGGGGAUGGACUCGCGGCUUAUCAGCUUGUUGGUGGGGUAGUGGCUUACCAAGGCUUUGACGGGUAGCCGGCCUGAGAGGGUGACCGGCCACAUUGGGACUGAGAUACGGCCCAGACUCCUACGGGAGGCAGCAGGGGGGAAUAUUGCGCAAUGGGCGGAAGCCUGAUGCAGCAACACCGCGUGCGGGAUGACGGCCUUCGGGUUGUAAACCGCUUUCGCCUGUGACGAAGCGUGAGUGACGGUAAUGAGUAAAGAAGCACCGGCUAACUACGUG
rnacentral:rRNA from 1 species